CGGACCGAGUGCGCGAGCGGACAUGACGUGUGGCUGUCGUAAAAACCCUAUUUGUAAACAACCAGCCCUUUAACUCGGGGCUGCGUCAUAAACACGGCGCGCUUGGAAGACCACGAUGUCAUCUUCCUUCUGUCAGGAGGAUCCAAGUGAAGCUACAGGAGUUUCAUUAACGUCAACAACUUGGACCAAACAGUUUGUUUUGCUUGAUGAAGAGCAGGAAGGGCAGCCUGGAGAGAAAGAGAAGCCGGGUUGAGCCCACUACCAUCAUCCACGUACCACGAGGAAGAUGAGGGAGAGAAAUGAUCCUACCAUUAAAGAGACUGUGAAAAGAACGUUGAGAACAUCACCACUCUACAGGAAGACACAGUCCAGUAAUGGGUGUCAGAAGUUCAGUAGUGAACGACAGAAACAAACAAUCCAAAUUACCUGCAGAAAGCCCUUGAUGGACGCUUCAGCUGCAUCGUCAGACUGGCAGUACUGAUGCAUUUACUGAGAGGGGACGUGAGGGCCUACUCUGCGUGCUCAGAGUUCAAGCCCAGCAGGCUGCAGCGGGCCUGACAUAUUCUGGAACAGCAGCACAGUCUUUGGAUGACUCCUCUGAAGAUGAAAACAUGGCGAAUUCUUCUCAAGAGAAGCAGUACAGGUGUGCCUCAGCUCCACGGUCCCUCCUGCAGCCUCCGCUCCUGAUGCUAACCUCAUGUCUCCAUCACACCAAGCAGCAGACCUGGAUUGACAGACCUUUCUCCAGAGCUGCCCCCUCCCUCUGAAACCCCCCUCUCCAAAACACUAUUUGUGUAGU